CAAUAGCGUAUAUUAAAGUUGUUGCGGUAAAAAAGCUCGUAGUUGGAUUUCUACCGAAGAUAGCCGGUCGGGUCUUCGACCCUGUAUCUGGUUUUGUCUUUGGUAUCCUCAUAGGGAACGUUUCUGCGCUUUAUUGCGUGGUGCGGUAUCUAUGACUUUUACUUUGAGGAAAUUAGAGUGUUCACGGCAGGCAAACGCCUUGAAUAUAUUAGCAUGGAAUAAUAACAUAGGAUCUUCGUCCUAUUUUGUUGGUUUCUAGGGCUAAGAUAAUGAUUAAUAGGGAUAAUUGGGGGCAUCUGUAUCAACGCGUCAGAGGUGGAAUUCUUGGAUUGCGUUGCGACAAACUACUGCGAAAGCAUUUGCCAAGGAUGUUUUCAUUGA
rnacentral:rRNA from 1 species